rnacentral:rRNA from 1 species
UACGGGGGGAGCAAGCGUUGUUCGGAUUUACUGGGCGUAAAGGGCGCGUAGGCGGUCAGCACAAGUCAGUUGUGAAAUCUCCGGGCUUAACUCGGAAAGGUCAACUGAUACUGUGCGACUAGAGUGCAGAAGGGGCAACUGGAAUUCUCGGUGUAGCGGUGAAAUGCGUAGAUAUCGAGAGGAACACCUGCGGCGAAGGCGACUACCUGGCCUGUUCUUGACGCUGAGGCGCGAAAGCUAGGGGAGCAAACGGG